AUUGAACGCUGGCGGCAUGCCUUACACAUGCAAGUCGAACGGUAACGCGGGGCAACCUGGCGACGAGUGGCGAACGGGUGAGUAGUGCAUCGGAACGUGCCCAAUAGUGGGGGAUAGCCCGGCGAAAGCCGGAUUAAUACCGCAUACGACCUAUGGGUGAAAGCGGGGGAUCGCAAGACCUCGCGCUAUUGGAGCGGCCGAUGUCAGAUUAGGUAGUUGGCGGGGUAAAGGCCCACCAAGCCUGCGAUCUGUAGCUGGUCUGAGAGGACGACCAGCCACACUGGGACUGAGACACGGCCCAGACUCCUACGGGAGGCAGCAGUGGGGAAUUUUGGACAAUGGGGGUGACCCUGAUCCAGCCAUGCCGCGUGCGGGAAGAAGGCCUGG
rnacentral:rRNA from 1 species